GCGGAAGAUCCUCCUCGAGGCCUCUUCGCCGAUUUCCAUCUCGGAUUUCUUUCGCCUUCUCGAGGCCUUCUUCGGCUCCUAGACCGACUUUCCUCCUUGAAGCCGUUCAAAUCAACGGCAAGAAUUCUCGAUGUCCUGCACCAGUGACGGCAUUUGGCAAAAUAUCACCUUUAGUUUUCUAGGAACCUGUACGACCUAACACGAGCUUCGGACGUCGAUGGAAGUCGGAGAAGGAGGAUCGCGAAGACGGCGCGGACUUCCGGCUGGAGGAAAGCUCGAACAGGAGCGAGCCCCUCGUUUACACUCCAAACACACGAAUAAUUACCCGGGCUCGAUCCGCGACGUGCCGCUGCUGAAAACUACCAGCUUUCCACCGACUAAGAGGGACUAUUUUCAGAUCGUUCGGUCACUUGGUACCACGAUGUACGGGGCGAUGGUGGCUGCUAAUUGUGUUAUUCCUUGGAAAAAUCUGCGAAUAUAUAUAUACCCGGAUAAAUUAUAUGAGUGUACCGGGUGGACGGACGGCGACGGAAGCGAGGAGCGCUUAGAAAUUGUCAUUUUGGAGGAUAACUCACAUCCACUGUAGUAAUAAAUGCCCCUCAC